UGAACGCUGGCGGCGGCCUAAACAUGCAAGUCGAACGGUAACAGGAUGUGCUUGCACAUCGCUGACGAGUGGCGGACGGGUGAGUAAUGCUUGGGAACUUGCCUUUGCGAGGGGGAUAACAGUUGGAAACGACUGCUAAUACCGCAUAAUGUCUUCGGACCAAACGGGGCUUCGGCUCCGGCGCAAAGAGAGGCCCAAGUGAGAUUAGCUAGUUGGUAAGGUAACGGCUUACCAAGGCGACGAUCUCUAGCUGUUCUGAGAGGAAGAUCAGCCACACUGGGACUGAGACACGGCCCAGACUCCUACGGGAGGCAGCAGUGGGGAAUAUUGCACAAUGGGGGAAACCCUGAUGCAGCCAUGCCGCGUGUGUGAAGAAGGCCUUCGGGUUGUAAAGCACUUUCAGUUGUGAGGAAAAGUUAGUAGUUAAUACCUGCUAGCCGUGACGUUAACAACAGAAGAAGCACCGGCUAACUCCGUGCCAGCAGCCGCGGUAAUACGGAGGGUGCGAGCGUUAAUCGGAAUUACUGGGCGUAAAGCGCACGCAGGCGGUUU
rnacentral:rRNA from 1 species